AGUGGGGAAUAUUGGACAAUGGGCGAAAGCCUGAUCCAGCCAUGCCGCGUGAGUGAUGAAGGCCUUAGGGUUGUAAAGCUCUUUCAGUGGGGAAGAUAAUGACGGUACCCACAGAAGAAGCCCCGGCUAACUUCGUGCCAGCAGCCGCGGUAAUACGAAGGGGGCUAGCGUUGUUCGGAUUUACUGGGCGUAAAGCGCACGUAGGCGGAUCGUUAAGUCAGGGGUGAAAUCCUGGGGCUCAACCCCGGAACUGCCUUUCAUACUGGCGAUCUCGAGUCCGGAAGAGGUGAGUGGAACUCCUAGUGUAGAGGUGGAAUUCGUAGAUAUUAGGAAGAACACCAGUGGCGAAGGCGGCUCACUGGUCCGGUACUGACGCUGAGGUGCGAAAGCGUGGGGAGCAAA
rnacentral:rRNA from 1 species